AUUGAACGCUGGCGGCAGGCCUAACACGCAAGUCGAGCGGAGCGGCGGACGGGUGGGUAAUUCCUAGGAAUCUGGGUGGUAGUGGGGGAUAACGUGAUGAAACGGGGACUAAUACCGCAUUCUAUCAGAUGAGCCUAGGUGGGAUUAGCUGGUUGGUGGGGUAAAGGCCUACCAAGGCGACGAUCCGUAACUGGUUUGAGAGGAUGAUCAGUCACACUGGAACUGAGACACGGUCCAGACUCCUACGGGAGGCAGCAGUGGGGAAUAUUGGACAAUGGGCGAAAGCCUGAUCCAGCCAUGCCGCGUGUGUGAAGAAGGUCUUCGGAUUGUAAAGCACUUUAAGUUGGGAGGCGUUACCAACAGAAUAAGCACCGGCUAACUUCGUGUCAGCAGCCGCGGUAAUAC
rnacentral:rRNA from 1 species